UACGUAGGGAGCGAGCGUUAUCCGGAUUUAUUGGGUGUAAAGGGUGCGUAGACGGAUUGACAAGUUAGUUGUGAAAUACCUCGGCUUAACUGAGGAACUGCAACUAAAACUAUGAAUCUUGAGUACUGGAGGGGAAAGCGGAAUUCCUAGUGUAGCGGUGAAAUGCGUAGAUAUUAGGAAGAACACCGGUGGCGAAGGCGGCUUUCUGGACAGUAACUGACACUGAGGCACGAAAGCGUGGGGAGCAAACAGG
rnacentral:rRNA from 1 species